rnacentral:rRNA from 1 species
CCUUGUACAGGAGGAUAGCCUUUAGAAAUGAAGAUUAAUACUCCAUAAUACUGAGAUGUGGCAUCACUAUUAAGUUAAAGAUUUAUCGGUACAAGAUGACUAUGCGUCCUAUUAGCUAGAUGGUAAGGUAACGGCUUACCAUGGCAACGAUAGGUAGGGGG